GACGAACGCUGGCGGCGUGCUUAACACAUGCAAGUCGAACGGAAAGACCCUGCUUUUGUGGGGUGCUCGAGUGGCGAACGGGUGAGUAACACGUGAGUAACCUGCCCUUGACUUUGGGAUAACUUCAGGAAACUGGGGCUAAUACCGGAUAGGAGCUCCUGCUGCAUGGUGGGGGUUGGUAAGUUUCGGCGGUUGGGGAUGGACUCGCGGCUUAUCCGCUUGUUGGUGGGGUAGUGGCUUACCAAGGGUUUGACGGGUAGCCGGCCUGAGAGGGUGACCGGCCACAUUGGGACUGAGAUACGGCCCAGACUCCUACGGGAGGCAGCAGUGGGGAAUAUUGCACAAUGGGCGGAAGCCUGAUGCAGCAACGCCGCGUGCGGGAUGACGGCCUUCGGGUUGUAAACCGCUUUCGCCGGUGACGAAGCGUGAGUGACGGUAAUGGGUAAAGAAGCACCGGCUAACUACGUG
rnacentral:rRNA from 1 species